GAUGAACGCUGGCGGCGUGCCUAAUACAUGCAAGUCGAACGCGCCGAGAAGGGAAGUUGUUCCUUUCAGCGCGAGUGGCGAACGGGAGAGUAACACGUGGGAAACCUACCCGUCAGCGGGGGAUAACCAUCGGAAACGAUGACGAAUACCGCAUAGUGGUUCCAGUGGCAGGACUGGAAUGGGAAAGACGGCUGCGGCGGUCACGGAGGGAUGGUCCCGGGGUGGAUUAGCUAGACGGUGGGGUAACGGCCCACCGUGGCUUUGAUGCAUAGCCGACCUGAGAGGGUGAUCGGCCACACUGGGACUGAGACACGGCCCAAACUCCUACGGGAGGCAGCAGUAGGGAAUCUUCCGCAAUGGACGAAAGUCUGACGGAGCCACGCCGCGUGUGUGAAGAAGGUCUUCGGAUCGUAAAGCACUGUUAUCAGAGAAGAAUAGCAUAUAGUGUAACUGUUAUAGUUUUGACGGUACCUGCUCAGAAAGCCCCGGCUAACUACGUG
rnacentral:rRNA from 1 species